UACGUAGGGGGCAAGCGUUGUCCGGAUUUAUUGGGCGUAAAGAGCGUGUAGGCGGCCAGGUAGGUCCGUUGUGAAAACUGGAGGCUUAACCUCCAGCUGUCGAUGGAAACCAUCUGGCUAGAGUCCGGAAGAGGAGAGUGGAAUUCCUGGUGUAGCGGUGAAAUGCGCAGAUAUCAGGAAGACCACCCGUGGCGAAGCCGGCUCUCUGGGACGGUACUGACGCUGAGACGCGAAAGCGUGGGGAGCGAACAGG
rnacentral:rRNA from 1 species